GACGUAGGGCGCGAGCGUUGUCCGGAUUUAUUGGGCGUAAAGAGCUCGUAGGCGGCUUGUCGCGUCGUCCGUGAAAACUUGGGGCUCAACCCCAAGCUUGCGGUCGAUACGGGCAGGCUAGAGUUCGGUAGGGGAGACUGGAAUUCCUGGUGUAGCGGUGAAAUGCGCAGAUAUCAGGAGGAACACCUGCGGCGAAGGCGGGUUGCUGGGCCGACACUGACGCUGAGGCGCGAAAGCCAGGGGGAGCGAACGGG
rnacentral:rRNA from 1 species